rnacentral:rRNA from 1 species
AGAGUUUGAUCCUGGCUCAGGAUGAACGCUAGCGGGAGGCUUAACACAUGCAAGUCGAGGGGUAACAGGAAGAAACUUCGGUUUUUUCGCUGACGACCGGCGAACGGGUGAGUAACGCGUAUGCAACCUGCCUUUUACAGAGGGAUAGCUUUCGGAAACGGAAAUUAAUACCUCAUAACACUAUAAGACGGCAUCGUUUUAUAGUUAAAACUACGGUGGUAAAAGAUGGGCAUGCGUAACAUUAGCUAGUUGGUAAGGUAACGGCUUACCAAGGCGACGAUGUUUAGGGGACCUGAGAGGGUGAUCCCCCACACUGGUACUGAGACACGGACCAGACUCCUACGGGAGGCAGCAGUGAGGAAUAUUGGUCAAUGGACGGAAGUCUGAACCAGCCAUCCCGCGUGCAGGAAGACGGCCCUAUGGGUUGUAAACUGCUUUUCUGAAGGAAGAAUAAUUACGAUGUAUCGUAAGACGACGGUACUUCAGGAAUAAGCAUCGGCUAACUCCGUGCCAGCAGCCGCGGUAAUACGGAGGAUGCAAGCGUUAUCCGGAUUCAUUGGGUUUAAAGGGUGCGUAGGCGGAAUGAUAAGUUAGUGGUGAAAGCCCCCGGCUCAACCGGGGAACUGCCAUUAAUACUGUCAUUCUUGAGUAUAGUUGAAGUGGGCGGAAUGUAUCAUGUAGCGGUGAAAUGCUUAGAUAUGAUACAGAACACCAAUAGCGUAGGCAGCUUGCUAAACUAUAACUGACGCUCAGGCACGAAAGCGUGGGGAGCAAACAGGAUUAGAUACCCUGGUAGUCCACGCCGUAAACGAUGAUCACUCGUUGUUGGCAAUACAUCGUCAGCGACU